AGCGAACGCUGGCGGCAGGCCUAACACAUGCAAGUCGAACGGACCCUUCGGGGUUAGUGGCGGACGGGUGAGUAACACGUGGGAACGUGCCUUUAGGUUCGGAAUAGCUCCUGGAAACGGGUGGUAAUGCCGAAUGUGCCCUUCGGGGGAAAGAUUUAUCGCCUUUAGAGCGGCCCGCGUCUGAUUAGCUGGUUGGUGAGGGAACGGCUCACCAAGGCGACGAUCAGUAGCUGGUCUGAGAGGAUGACCAGCCACACUGGGACUGAGACACGGCCCAGACUCCUACGGGAGGCAGCAGUGGGGAAUCUUGCGCAAUGGGCGAAAGCCUGACGCAGCCAUGCCGCGUGAAUGAUGAAGGUCUUAGGAUUGUAAAAUUCUUUCACCGGGGACGAUAAUGACGGUACCCGGAGAAGAAGCCCCGGCUAACUUCGUGCCAGCCGCCGCCGUAA
rnacentral:rRNA from 1 species